GGUCCGUUGGUCAAGUGGUUAAGACACCGCCUUUUCACGGCGGUAACACGGGUUCGAAUCCCGUACGGACUA
rnacentral:tRNA from 1 species